GUGCGAGCGGCGGCGGAGCCGGGCCUGAGCGAGCUGCUGCGGCGCGGGCCGCGCUGCCCGUCGUUGGCCGACGCGCUGGAGGGCCUGCGGGACGCGGAGCCUUACUACCGGCACCUGCACCGUCCCGUGGCGGGGCACUGCAGGGCUUGAGACGUGCAUCGUUCUCGCUGCCCGAGCUUGAUGCAGAGUACUGGCACUGGAAACCUGGCUGUGAGGAAAUGGGGGGCAGGAGGAAGUUCAGGGGGAGAUGCCAAGCUCCUUUGGGUGUCAUUCGGAGCCACUGGGUGCCUGCUCAAGUAGUUUGGUGACUCGAGAUCUGCAGGGUGUCCCUGAAACCCAUCGGGUGCCCCUCCAGUGCUGGUGAGCUCAUUACAGAAAUUAAGCUGAGAGGCAGUGCAGGCUGCAGCAACUGUGUACUGGCUGUUUGUGAUCCUGAGGGCUUGGCAAAGAGCAGUCAGUCCCUCCAACUGCAGAAAAGUGCAGCUGUCCAGCUCUUUCAAAAGAAUCAGGGGGAGAGGUCCCCUGGAAACUGGUCCUUAAAGAAAUAGGAAUCAAACAGAGCCAACAACUCUAAGGACAUCUCUGGGAGAAUGCAAGAACUCUGUCCCCACGAAGAGGCAGGAAGCCAGCAAGGCUGAGCAAGGAACAGCUGGUCAAAGCAAGGGAGGCGGACAAGCAGGGGGCAGGGAGGGGGGAGUGAGCACACUGAAAAGAAAUGAAACAGAAUGAGGUAUAGUGGAGAUGAAUGAGGCAGAGUGGUGCGAAGUCAUAGGGAAUGCAAUGAAAUGAAAUGGAUGGGAGCGGAAUGCGAUGAAAAGAGGUGGAGUAGAGUCGAGUGAAAAAGAACAGAGUGAAAGGGAAUGCAAUAAAAUAGGGUGGCGUGCUGCUGGAAUGUACAGUUCUAUAAAGGAACUCUAAAUUUCCAUUGCAUACCUACUAUCACUGCUUCUUCCAGGAGCUUCACCCAAAAACUGGCUUAAGAACAUUCUCUUACCCUUGAAUUAGGAUCCUGAUGAGUCUUCUGUGCAUGUAAUACUGUGAGGGUCUUCAUAUGUGUGUGGUCUGCAUGGCCGGCCGUACCUACCCUUCAGCUGCUCCAGAUGAUUAUUUGGGGAUGACCCUACAUACCCAGUACCAUACAUUCCAAAUUGCCACAAACAUCAACUAAUCAGCAAACAUUUCUGGCCAGACAUAAACGGGCUGCUUGGUGGUUCUAUGCCAUGGCCAUCUUCCCGCCACAAGCUGUGGUAGCCUCUGCUGGAUGGCAAGGAUCAGCAUCAGCUAAUGAUACUGCAGCAGCGCUGAAUUUAACACAUCAAGCUAGCAGAUUGAUUAGCUGGAGAUUACAACAAACACAGAAAAUUGUACCAUUGAAGCACAUGGAAUUCGACAUAGUGAUUGCUGCCCAGGAGGGUACCGGUGCAAUCAUUAACAGGUACUGUUGUGUAUACAGCCCUGAGGCCUUCAAAAAUGGAACUCGUACGAUGACACAGACGAAGACCCAAAUUAUUCACACUCUCACUAUUAUUCACCUCACAAUUAUUAUUAUUAUUCACAAUUAUUAUUAUAAUUCACCUCACAAUUAUGACACCCAAAGGAGCUUGGCAUCUCCCCCUGAACUUCCUCCUGCCCCCCAUUUCCUCACAGCCAGGUUUCCAGUGCCAGUACUCUGCAUCAAGCUCGGGCAGCGAGAAUGACGCACGUCUCAAGCCCUGCAGUGCAGCACUGUCAUCCCCUUGGGGAUGCCCAGCCCUCUGGAACCACCAUGGCACAGGCGAGCCUGCUGCCACCCCGUAGCUGCAGUUGGAUUCCCCACCGCAGCCGUGUGCCACAUCACACAGAGCCCCUAAGCAUGGCAAAACUGCAGCGUUUUCAAAGGAGCUUCUGUCUGGAGACAAUGCCACCACGAGGCCAAAGUCCCCACAGGCCAGGUGCCACGGACACCGCUGGGACACUGAGUGGUCGGUGGCAGCAUCAGUAGCUCAAGGGGACGCAGCCCUGGUGACACGGUCACAAGAAUGCUGUCAGUGACAACCACAACCCUCAAGUCCGGUGGGAUCCAAAGGGAGAAUGAAGCCAUAUAAAGGCUGGACCGUCUUGCAGCAAGGGUGGAGACCUCACCUACGAGUGGAUGCACUGCAUAGGAGCUCCCAGCUGCCAGGAACAGGCUCUCCAGAACCUCACUGCAACUGGGGCUCCCCAGCGACCACAGAUCUGGGCGAUGAUGCACUUCUUUGAAUGCUGCCUGCAACCUUUGUGCUGACGCUGUCCACUGGCAAAACACCAGCAAAGCCGCCCCUCACCCGCUCCCAGCCGCUGCAGCCAUGAGAGCUUCCUGUGACACGCCUGGCAGCGGCAUUCGGGCCUCAUCAUCCUCCUCCUCAAUCGCCAAUGUGCACCCCCGGAACCUUCAGCGCCCCUGUGGAGCAUUACACUGAGAGAUUCUGCUAUAAAGAAGUGAAUCAGCUUCCCUGCAUUGCCCGAAACACCUGAACUGAAUAGCAGAGGGAUGUUCCUAUUUGGUUAAACCAAACACAACGGCCACGUACACGGCAGAAGGGGCAGAAGGGAUUCUAGUAGUGUGCACAAGCAAUACACUGCAGAGAAAUGAACUACUGCUUACCCACUGCCUGGCGGCACACGGGGCUCAGACAGAAUGGGAAAUGGAUUUGGGUGAUGAAUAUGGUUAGCUAUUAGCUGCCAGGUAGCUGUGAUUCAUACCAGCUGCAACUGAAUCACGCUGACAGCUGGAAAAGGACGUUUGAAUAUUAACAGCGUUGUCAGUUAUACAGCACUGAUUUCAACUGCUUUGCUGGUUUUCUUUAUUUUUUUAUUUUUUUAAUUUCAUUUCGUUUAAAUGAAUGCUCACAGAAUUGUAAGACACCAAAUAAAAUGUACUCGUAGCUUAUAGGAGUAGUUCCACGUUUACAAAAGGUGUUGACAUUCACUGCCCUUCACCUAUGGGUUUUUGCACUGCUACAAGCUUGUGCAAGACGAACCUAGAAAGAAAGAGAAAUUCAUCAACAGGCAAAGAGAUUAUAACCCACAGCCGCUUCCGAUUUCCACCUGAAGCAGAAGACACCUUUAGUUUCGAUUCAGUUUUUCAAAAUGCUGACAACAGUUAUUUUUCUACAAGUGUGAAGUUUUAUCCCUCCUUCCCUUCCCAGUUCAUGCUGCUUCUUCACCAGUGGUAGAAGCUAAGAUACAAGACUUGAAAUGAGAAGCUUCUGCUACAGCUCAGUAGCUCAACAGUUACGGACAACAAUUAAGGACAGAGACAAGGCUGCAUUAUAGCUUCAGGUCUCGAACAAAAAAAAAAAAAAAAAAAAAAAAAGAAAGAAAAGAAAAGAAAAAAAGAAAGAAAGAAAGAAACAGACUUACAGAUAGCUUCUUCAUAAUGCCUCGUGCCUCCGGAUUGAGAUGAAGAAGAUUCUUCUUGGUCAGAUCACUUGCUGUUAAACGAAUGCUCUGUAACAAGCCAAACACCAACAGAUCUCAGGUUUGCCGGUUGUUUAGCAGCUAGAAGCAGCAAAAAUAAAACUCCAUGCACAUUAGGAGACCACAUACGUGCCAAGAACCACAUCCAGCUUGACCAGCUCAUCUCAUACCUGCCCUUGGUGUACCAACACACUGCCGUGAGCAGAAGGUACUUUCAGCAUUACUUAAAAGCCCAGCAAAGCAACAGUCUGCAUUCUGCUUAGAUCAGAGCCAACAGCUCCCGCUUCUGACUCAUAAUUUCUUCAGCGUCUUUUUAAGCAACAUUUACCUCCCGAUAAACUGCGGUGGCACAAGUAAGCGGGCGAGAACGAACGUACAGGAGUCCCUUGAAACUGAUUAGGCCCCCACGAAGGUACAGGCUCCCCUUGCUGCACGGAUUUUACAGGCUCAAGUUUGAUUUUACCUCCCCUCCUCCAACAGGAACGGUAAUGAAGACAUCAUUGCCAUCAGCAAGGGGGCUGCCGUUAGCAGAGAUGGUGUAAACACGUUCAUUUACUGCGGGUGUGCGCAAACCCGGCGUCUUGAAAACUCUGGAAAAAGCAACAGGUAAGGAAUUUUAUUGCAAUUGCUUAAAGCACUUGGACAAAAAGUCUUCCAUUGCACGUUCAAAGCGCUGCUGGAAAAUAUUCUGCAUAUAGACAACUGAGAUAUAGGGAGUAAGCAGCAAGGCACUCCUCUGUGUAAGCAGUUAACAGAGAAAUGCAACAGAAUACAAACCUCGAAUCAAACCUGGGCGUGACGAUGGAGGCGCCUCCUCGAGCACAGAGAUCAAGAUUUCUGCCGGUAGCUGGAGUGAUAAAGCUGCUUUUGCUUGAUCUGCUUAAAAGGAAGCAUGUAAGUAGAGCCCUGCUCUCAGAAGAAUAAUUUUAACAGAUACGUAAGCACUGUCUUACCAAAGGCUCAGAUGAGACAACCCAAGGUUCUCACAGAUCGCCCUACAGCACAGCAUGCCUACAUCAUCCAGCCUGCUAGGCCACGUGCCAUCCCAUUCAGCAGCUGUGUUAGCACUGCGCCUUUACUCUCUGUUUCUGAAAUCCUGCCACAAAACUCAUUGCCGUUACCUUUUACUCACGCGUUUCACUCUUGCUGAAGGAGCUCUUCUGCUCCUGGACACUGGUGCUUUCUUAGUGGACGUCCUCACCUGAAACACAUUAGCUGCCAAGUCAGUCAUUUCCUUCUCCCGUGACAGCCGAGUCCGCACUGAGCAAAUGCUCCCAUACAAAACGCUUGGCUCAGCAGGCUCCUUCCUGCAGCGCGAGAGCCUGAAACAAGCCACUGGACAAAUCUCUGAGUAUUACCUCCCCCAUUUGAGUAUUAUUCUCACAUCUCUUCCCCAAAGUUCAGCUGUAGAACUUCCGGAGGAUAACGGACCUCGUUAACUUCUACUCUGACUCGGGACGGCUCACGUGUUUACUGUUGCCCACAGCAAAAUUCAUAAAAUAGAAAAUCAAAAAGCAUUAUUGGUAAAUAAUUUCAACGUGGCCCAGACUGUUCUGCUCUAGGGAAUAUCACUCCCUACAUACAGCAGCACUGAAUACACCCACUCAGAUGAGAAGGAGGAGACUCUCAUGUGCAGAAGUACAACAGGAAUAAACGCAGAGGUAACUCGCAGCACAGUCACUUUGCUCGCCAUAAGUAACAGCACUACCUGCCAGUGAAAGCCAGCUUCCAGCGUCACCGGAACGCUCAGGAAACAACAGCUUUUUCAAAGUCACCCUUACGGCAUCCUGCACAGCUGUCCCACCACAGGCAUCAGCAUCGCCUCACUACAUAGUUUAUAUCCUGGGAACAAAAGCCAUCACAAAGAGCUGCAACUCACCUUUCCGUUUCUUGGAUUAGUACUUGCAGCUGCUUGCUCCAGCAGAAGCUGGCUAUCGUGUUUCGCUUUCUUUGCUGGAGGAAGCAAAGGAACCUCUGCUGCUUCUUCAGUAGCUUCAAUACCCUGUUUAGAUUUUUCUACGAAAAGGAGGAAGCAUCGUUCAAGUUGACAGAAAAAAAAAAAACAACCCUACCGUGACAUAACUGACCAUUAGCUAAGGUAAGGAAAUAUACUACAAGCUUCUUUUGGCAACAGUUUGCUUCUAAAAUCUGAAUUCUGACGACAACAGUAAAGAGAACACGGCUGUGAAUUAUUCAGAAUGCUUUAAUUAAAGCACGUAAAAGUACUUCAGGUUGCAGGAGUAAAGGGAGAAUUACGUCCCCGUCUUUAAAUGUAGCAAAGGCUGUAGCAAAGAACCAAAUCAGUAUUCACAGAAUGUUAACUACUGACCUUUUGUGACGAUUUUUAAAGGAGUCUGGAUAA